GUUUUCCUACGGGACGCAGUAGUGAGGAAUAUUGGUCAAUGGGCUUACGCCUGAACCAGCCAAGUCGCGUGAGGGAAGACUGCCCUAUGGGUUGUAAACCUCUUUUGUCAGGGAGCAAUUGGCGCUACAUGUAGCGUUAUCGAGAGUACCUGAAGAAAAAGCAUCGGCUAACUCCGUGCCAGCAGCCGCGGUAAUACGGAGGAUGCGAGCGUUAUCCGGAUUUAUUGGGUUUAAAGGGUGCGUAGGCGGAAUGCCAAGUCAGCGGUAAAAUCGCGGGGCUCAACCCCGCUCCGCCGUUGAAACUG
rnacentral:rRNA from 1 species